rnacentral:lncRNA from 1 species
GUGGUAGGUCGCAGCCUCUGGGCAGGUCUCAGUGUCCAACACUGUAGCUGGUGCCUGCCAGGUUCCCAGUCGCUGGGGUCACCAGGUCUGAAGAGAGAUGUGCUGGCUGCGGGCGUGGGGCCAGAUUCUCCUGCCAGUUUUCCUCUCCCUCUUUCUCAUCCAAUUGCUUAUCAGCUUCUCAGAGAAUGGUUUUAUCCACAGCCCCAGGAACAAUCAGAAACCAAGAGAUGGGAAUGAAGAGGAAUGUUCUGUAAAGAAGAGUUGUCAAUUGUGCACAGAAGAUAAGAAAUAUAUGAUGAAUAGAUAAUUGAAAAGAGAUCUUCC